UCCUACGGGAGGCAGCAGUGAGGAAUAUUGCGCAAUGGACGAAAGUCUGACGGAGCAACGCCGCGUGAGUGAUGAAGGCUUUCGGGUCGUAAAACUCUGUUGUUAGGGAAGAACUAGUGCUAGUUGAAUAAGCUGGCACCUUGACGGUACCUAACCAGAAAGCCACGGCUAACUACGUGCCAGCAGCCGCGGUAAUACGUAGGUGGCAAGCGUUAUCCGGAAUUAUUGGGCGUAAAGCGCGCGCAGGUGGUUUCUUAAGUCUGAUGUGAAAGCCCACGGCUCAACCGUGGAGGGUCAUUGGAAACUGGGAGACUUGAGUGCAGAAGAGGAAAGUGGAAUUCCAUGUGUAGCGGUGAAAUGCGUAGAGAUAUGGAGGAACACCAGUGGCGAAGGCGACUUUCUGGUCUGUAACUGACGCUGAGGCGCGAAAGCGUGGGGAGCAAACAGGAUUAGAUACCCUGGUAGUCCACGCCGUAAACGAUGAGUGCUAAGUGUUAGAGGGUUUCCGCCCUUUAGUGCUGAAGUUAACGCAUUAAGCACUCCGCCUGGGGAGUACGGCCGCAAGGCUGAAACUCAAAGGAAUUGACGGA
rnacentral:rRNA from 1 species